CGGGCAUUGAUGGUGCACGUCCAAAAUAAAAGAGAGUGGUGACAGUCAUGCAGCCUGUUUGUUUUCUUGUGGAGAAUGAUAGCCUGGCUGAGGCAGCCCUCAGUCACAUCACAUCUGAAGAUUCUGGACUAUUGAAACAUUCUGAAAUCCAAGAUGUAAUCCAUUUGAGAUUUUCAACAUCACAGAUAAAUUGCCCAACCAUCUCAGAAAGAGGUUUGCAUGUCUGCAGGGCUGCAAAGGUCUUGCCAAAAUGGAAUGUUCUCCAUCUUAGUGAAGAGGAUGUUCUCAGAGCUAUUCAGCUUUGUCUUGGAGAAAAGGCAAAACAGGAAUGUGGCGAGUUCUGCGUCCAGGCCAGCGACGUGCUGGCCGUCCACCAGCGGCUGACCAACAACGCCAUCUACGGCGACCUGCCGGCGUCCGAGCUGGACACCUCGGCUUACGAGCAGUACGCGGCCGACAACCACCUGGUGGACACGCCGUCCGUG
rnacentral:lncRNA from 1 species